UAAAAAAUAUCGUACAUCUUUGAUGUGACGGAUCUGGGUUAUCCGAUCUUAUUAAUCGGUUACCUAAAAUUUAAGAUGGAUAUGUAAUGUGAAGCGUACUAAAUUAGUCGCUAAUCAUUUAUAAUACUUAUUACAUUACCUCUAAAUAUUUAGUUGGUGGUGUAUAAAUUGAG
rnacentral:misc_RNA from 1 species